rfam:Mesitornis unicolor contig94308, whole genome shotgun sequence.
CCAAAGGCUCUUUUAAGAGCCACCCAUGUUUUCCUUUUAAAGAGCU